UGUCUUAUAUUCAAAUAAAUGAUAUAAAAUUGCAAAUUUUAAGUUAUAAUAAAUAAUUAUUAUUAAGGCUU
rnacentral:tRNA from 1 species